rnacentral:rRNA from 1 species
GAUGAACGCUGGCGGCGUGCCUAAUACAUGCAAGUCGAGCGAACGGACGAGAAGCUUGCUUCUUUGUUGUUAGCGGCGGACGGGUGAGUAACGCGUGUAUAACCUACCUAUCAGACUGGGAUAACUUCGGGACAGCGGAGCUAAUAGCGGAUAAUAUUUUGAUCCGCAUGGUUGAAAAGUGAAUGACGGUGUUGCUGUCACUUAUAGAUGGAUCCGCGCUGCAUUAGCUAGUUGGUAAGGUACAGGGCUACCAAGGCAACGAUGCCUAGCCGACCGGAGAGGGUGAUCGGCCGCCUGGGAACGGGAACACGGUCAAGACGCCUACGGUAGGCAGCAGUAGGGAAUCUGCCGCAAUGGGCGAAAGCCUGACGGAGCAACGCCGCGUGAGUGAUGAAGGUGUUCGGAGCGUAAAACUCUGUUAUUAGGGAAGAACAUAUUUGUAAGUAGCUGUGCACAUCGUGACGGUACCUAAUCAGAAAGCCACGGCUAACUACGUG